rnacentral:rRNA from 1 species
UACGGGGGGUGCAAGCGUUGUUCGGAAUUAUUGGGCGUAAAGAGCGUGUAGGCGGUUUGUUAAGUCUGAUGUGAAAGCCCUGGGCUCAACCCAGGAAGUGCAUUGGAAACUGGCAGACUUGAAUACGGGAGAGGGCAGUGGAAUUCCUAGUGUAGGAGUGAAAUCCGUAGAUAUUAGGAGGAACACCGGUGGCGAAGGCGGCUGCCUG